rnacentral:rRNA from 1 species
UACGGAGGGUCCAAGCGUUAAUCGGAAUUACUGGGCGUAAAGCGUGCGCAGGCGGCUUUGCAAGACAGAUGUGAAAUCCCCGGGCUCAACCUGGGAAUUGCGAUGGAGACUGCAAGGCUUGAAUCUGGCAGAGGGGGGUAGAAUUCCACGUGUAGCAGUGAAAUGCGUAGAGAUGUGGAGGAACACCGAUGGCGAAGGCAGCCCCCUGGGUCAAGAUUGACGCUCAUGCACGAAAGCGUGGGGAGCAAACAGG